rnacentral:tRNA from 1 species
GUCCCCGUAGCUCAGUUGGAUAGAGCAACCGCCUCCUAAGCGGUAGGCCGGAGGUUCAAAUCCUCUCGGGGACGCCA